rnacentral:rRNA from 1 species
UACGUAGGGUCCAGCGUUGUCCGGAAUUACUGGGCGUAAAGAGCUCGUAGGUGGUUUGUCGCGUUGUUCGUGAAAACUCACAGCUCAACUGUGGGCGUGCGGGCGAUACGGGCAGACUAGAGUACUGCAGGGGAGACUGGAAUUCCUGGUGUAGCGGUGGAAUGCGCAGAUAUCAGGAGGAACACCGGUGGCGAAGGCGGGUCUCUGGGCAGUAACUGACGCUGAGGAGCGAAAGCGUGGGGAGCGAACAGG